UUCACAUUUCUUUUGCUUCUAACCUAAAUUUUUCAUCCCUUUAAUACAAACCCUAGCCGUCUAUCACUCCAAAUGUAUCUGAAAUCAUAAUCUUUAUCAUUCCUUUCCCUUUCGAUUCAAAAUUCGCUUUAAUCUGAAUUUUCUUCAACGAUUCAUAUCGACUCAGCGAUAUCUUCGAUCCUUACGUAUUGGAAUCAAUAAUGACCCGUCGACUGUUCGUACUUCAGAGGCGAACCAGAGUUAGAUUGCUUGUCAAGUUUCACGAGGAAUAGCAAGCAGUUUAUGAUUUGAGCGUUUGGUCGAUCUCCAUUUCUUCAUUCCCGGAGGUUUUUAUUUUAAUUUCAGAAUAAAAGAGUCGAACUAUUUUAAACUCUUAGACCGCAGUAGUAGUAUCAGAUAUUCAUGUCUUAGUCUCUUAUUUAUAUUUUUAGACUAUUGUUUGUUGGAUUGGUCCAACUAUUACUUUAUCGCUUUUGGCAUGAUUACAGUGUUUAUGGUAUUUA